GAAGGAGCGGGUGCUUGGAUUGAACGCUGCAGGGAGUCACAAAGAGUGGGACCACUGUAAGGUCUGCCCUUUCAGGACUGGUUGGAAUGCUGGUUUCCUAGAAGUGGAGUAGUCUAGAGGAAAGGGAAUGAGCCUUGGACUCAGGGAGAAGAUCUGUGUGAAGGCAGGAGGGGAAAGAGGAAGACCUUAAAUGAUGCCCCAUACCUGAGUUAGGGGAGAUGACACCAUUCCCAGACAGGGCAGGAACCCAUAAUGUGGGCCACACUGCUCAUGCUCCGCAAGCGCAGACUCCUCUGGACAUCAAGGUAUCCUUCUGUCACAUUGUCACAUGACAGAUUUGCUCUGAAUUCAGGUUGCCUUAGAAGAUGGCCAACUCUAAAGGGAGAACUCCAACAUACGUCUCCAUGGACAGAAAGAGUAAGCUAAAAGGAGUCUACCGGAACCUGA